GGAUACAAUCUCACAGUUCACAAACUGGGCUACUAUCUCUCACCGGAAGGUAAAUCUCUCAGUAUUACUUAAACUUUGUCCAAGAAGUGUUUGCGUUUGCUUGGUUACAGAGCUGGCAGGAAGUUGGAAGGCAAAACCAUUUGUGCCCUUCCGUCCACGGUGCAUUUGAAAACACUGUUCAGGAUGAGUCAUAGGAAUUCUGUGAUGAACAUGGUGACUUCUAUGAAAACUAGACAAAUUCUAGGUAUCCAGGAUCAUGAAAAAAACAGUUACUUUUGCUUCAAAAGAGGAUUUUUACUUGUUUGGCCACCUCCCAACCUUGGUGAAGGUUAUCAGUCUUUUGUGUAUCAUGUUCUCCAACGGCUUUUGUAGAAAAAACAAAUAAUUGGUCUAUGCCAUGGAUUGUAAUGUUUCUACUGGGACUAUGCUGUGUAUACUGCACCUGAGGGAUUGCAACUCCACAUUUUUUGUAAUCUAAUAGUUUUUUCCUCCCUGCCACCCCCUUUCUCCUUGUUCUCUCCACUAUAGCUAUCUCUUAUAAUAUGCCUCCUUUAAGUCAGUAUUUUUACUGUUCAGCACAGAGGAUGCCAUCAUCAAUUAACUUCAUUUUAUUCUGUUUUUCUUCAUCAUUACUGGAAUGUAAUUUAAAGAAUCUUCUCUUUUACUUUUGACAGGUAUAAUAGGGAUUCUCAACUUCCCAGGAAGCUUCUUAGAUUGAAUUUCUAGAAUAGAAUAGCUUUAUUGUCAUUGUGCUAUUGCACAGUGAAAUUAAAUGCUUUGCCCAGUACACACCACAAAACAACACAACCAUCCCUCCGCACCCCAACCACCACCACACAGCCCCCAAUGCCACAUCAAUGCGAUACCAUGGAGUUCAACAUAGCCACAGCUGUAGGAUAAAAGCUAUCUCUCAGUCUGUUUGUCCUUGCCAUUGUCACUCUAUACUGUUUGCCAGAUGGCAAUAAUUUUUUAAAAAAGAAUAUGACAGGUGAGAUGGGUCUCCAAGAAUGCUCUAAGCUUUUUUAAGGCUACGGGACUUAUAAAGUUCUUCCAAAGAAAGAAAAGGGCAACCAAUAAAUCUCUGUGCAGAAAUGGUGACCCUUUGGAGCACCUUCCUGUGUGCCACUGUAUAGUUACCAAACCACACGCAGAUGCAGUAGGUUAGUACACUCUCUAUAGCACAUUGGUAAAAAGUCACCAGCAGUUUUUCAUUCAGUUGUUGGUUCCAUAGAAAUCUGAGGUAGUACUGUUUCUCCUGGGCCCUCUUACCCAACGCUGCCUAUGACUGCCCCAGGUCAGAUCCUCCUUAACAGUGACAGCCAGGAAUUUAAAACUGGCCACCUGCUCCACUAUUUAUGACCAAGGGCUCAAUUUCUGGUCUAUUCUUCCUAUAGUCUGCUUUGAGCUCCUUGGACUUAUUGAUGUCAAGAACCAAAUUUGUAUCUCUGUACCACGAGAGCAGUCAUUCCACCUCAUCCUGAUAGGUCAGUGGUUCUCAACAUGUGGUUCUCAACGCUCAGAAAUCCCAGCCAGUUUACCAGCUGUUAGGAUUUCUGGGAGUUGAAGGCCAAAACAUCUGGGGACACACAGAUUGAGAACCACUGUGAUAGGCAGACUCAUCCCCUGCAGAGAUUAUGUUUGCCCAGUAUAUGUGGAAGGCAAGAAAUGAUAUGCCUACACUUUUUCAAGGCACUUCAUGAUGAUGGGGUGAUAAAAAUGUCCCAGUUUGUCUUCUCAAAGCAAUCCAUAAUACUGCAUGGAUAAAACUACAACUCUCCUAAAUUCUUGCAGUUAACUAAUCCAAUUGGUUUGAAAAUUAGUGUAUGAAAGUAUUACAUAAUCUGUAACCACGGGUUGUGUCAUUACAACAAUAAAGGUGUUUGACAG
rnacentral:lncRNA from 11 species